GAAGGGGAGGAGGAGGGGAAAGAGGAUGAGAAGUUGCAGUGCACUAGGUGGGCUUUGAGAGCGCUGCUGAGCCGUGCAAGGCGGAUCGGGGAAGAGAACUGGCGUGUUAAGCCGUCCUUUCGCGUUGCAAGGAUCUUCCUUUUUCAAUAACAAGCAACGUGUGUAUGUGUGUGGGGAUGCUCAUUACACGUGGAGCUGUUCCUGACGUGCGCCUUCUCUUGUGCAUUUUUCCGUGCACGGGCCGUAACACUGAGCUCUUUCGUUUUCUUCGUAUACCUUGCCCCUUCUGUGCUUGUUUGGUGUUUUGCUCUCGAAGCGCCGUGGUUGCUUUUCCGUGCUGGAGAAAGGGGUCUGGAUCCUGUGUGUGUUUACUCGGGUCGAUCUCACGGAGCUCCCACGCUGGGAGGGGGUUGGCGAGGUCUUCCCGAGUCGAUACGUUUUGUAUUGCAGCUUCAGUAACAGGAUUCUGCUGAAGGAUCCUCAGCUGCCUAGCAUUCCUGGUUUUCCCUGCCCCCUCCUCUCUUCCCCUCCCCCUCCCCCUCGCUUUAUCUGCUCUUGUGACUGGAAUCGUUUUUUGUGUUUUGCUGUUGCUGGUGGCGGUUCACAUGCUGAGUGUGUUUUUAACCCCAGCAGUCAACCAAGUAUGCUGGGCAUGCACGUUUUUAUUUAUUGAGCUAUUUGUGGUUGGAAUGUAUUGAUCCCUAUUCUGGAGCAUGGAAAAUAACCUAUGUGCGCACAUACAAAGAAAAGGCCUAUGGAAUCAGUUCCCCCCCAGCCUUGCCCCUUCUGGAGUUUAGGACCCAACAACCCCAGUUAACCAUGACUUAAGAGUAGGGAUGGUGGGAGUUGGAGUUCAAAACCUCUGGAGGACACCAAGUCAGGGGCUGCAUUAAAUACUUAAAGCAUCCUUCUCUGCCUACUUAAACUUAACCACUAAUGGCUCCCUAGCCUGCCUUGCCCACUGGAUUUAAAAUAAGUUCUUGUCACAACUUUGGAGAACAUCCUGGAAAAAGCAGCAGUAGCACUUGCGAAACACCCAUGGAACAGAGGAAAAGUUUGUUUAGCCACCAUCUGAUGUGUUGAAGCGGCUAUUGAAGUAAGACAACUGUGAACCAGAGGUCCAGACCAGACACUCGGCUAUCAUGUGCCACAAACCCGAGGUUGUACCACUCCGAGAAUGCAGGUAUCCCUCACCUGGACAACUAACAUGUCAGGAAGAACCCUAGACUGGCAUUCUUUUUCCUAACAUGCUUGAUUUCUCCAGGUGGGGAGUUUUGGAGGAGGUUCCAAACAUGCAGUCCUCUGCCUCUGACCCAGAAGGAUUGUACUGUGCGUUUUUGUCUGUCUAAAUCCUGAACUGAAAUCUGAUGUGCCCUGAAAUCUUGAUGAGAGAAAAAUGAAGCCAUUUUUUGAAUUGACUGCAAAGGAGGGAAGCAUGCAGAGAAGCAACCUGACCAAUGGUUCUUUUGGCAAAGCAGGAAGUGUUGUUUGAAAUUACAAGGCAAGAAAGAAUAUCAAUGACACACCAGUAAGUUGUUCCGCUGAUGACACCAUGGAAUGAUGAAUUGCUUGGAGCAGUUGUGAAACCACCAUUACUGGAAAGUUGUCAAGGCGAGACUAGACAUGGAUGUCAAGGAGAAUGUGUGGAAAUCGGUGACUAUUAAUAAACAAACACUUCAGCUGCUAGGCUAGCCGCCCAGGUAAUCUUUGUGUUGUAAACUGACCCUUGCAUUCACCUUUGGACGAGAUGUGCAACCUGAUUCAAUAAACGAGAUAAACUUGAACCAUAUAUGGACUGUGCUUAAUUUAAAACAGACAUUAUGGUAAUCCACAAGCCCAAUUCAGAUGUUGUUGCAAGCAAGAGAACUCGUGGGGCUGCGUCAGCGAACCUUGGCCUUGUGCCACAGCAUACCUG